AGCAACCCUAAUAUUUGAAUUGUUACAAGGAUGCCACUCUACAGGGUCAGCUCUUCAUGGCAGCUCUGCAGGAGGUCUCCUGGUGACAUCAGCACGUCUCACAGCCCCGCUAAGAGCAGGCAGACUCACGCACCAUGUAUAUCAAGUUGGCCAGAAUGCACUGGACCUCGUCAAUGUCCACGUCUUCCACGUGCAUGAAUUUCAAAGCAACCAGAAAGGCGUCUAGAGACAGCUGAUGUGUCUUGAGUAACAAAUACCUACGAAGAAAAGGAACUACUCUAAGAAACAACAGGACUCAGUGCUUCAGGGACAAGAAGAAGAGCCAGAGGACAGGCAGGGACAUUAUUUGAGACUCAGACACUGUCUUCUGCCUGGAUGGACCCUGCAUGCACACAAUGCACUUCCUACACACNUGCAGGCAACACUCAAUAAAACAAAAAUAAAUCUU
rnacentral:lncRNA from 1 species